UGCGUAGGUGGCGUGGUAAGUCAGAUGUGAAAGCCCGGGGCUCAACCUCGGAACUGCAUCCGAUACUGCCAUGCUUGAGUACUGAAGAGGUGACUAGAAUUCUCGGUGUAGCAGUGAAAUGCGUAGAUAUCGAGAGGAAUACCAAAGGCGAAGGCAGGUCACUGGGCAGUUACUGACACUGAGGCACGAAGGCCAGGGGAGCAAACGGGAUUAGAUACCCCCGUA
rnacentral:rRNA from 1 species